UACGGGGGGGGCGAGCGUUGUUCGGAAUUACUGGGCGUAAAGGGCGCGUAGGCGGUUCGCUAAGUUGGAUGUGAAAACUCUGGGCUCAACCCAGAGCCUGCAUCCAAAACUGGCGGGCUAGAGUUCUGGAGGGGGUAGCGGAAUUCCUGGUGUAGCGGUGAAAUGCGUAGAUAUCCGGAGGAACACCGGUGGCGAAGGCGGCUUCCUGGACCGACACUGACGCUGAGGCGCGAAAGCCAGGGGAGCAAACGGG
rnacentral:rRNA from 1 species